rnacentral:rRNA from 1 species
GAUGAAUGCUGGCGGCGUGCCUAAUACAUGCAAGUCGAGCGAACAGACGAGGAGCUUGCUCCUCUGACGUUAGCGGCGGACGGGUGAGUAACACGUGGAUAACCUACCUAUAAGACUGGGAUAACUUCGGGAAACCGGAGCUAAUACCGGAUAAUAUAUUGAACCGCAUGGUUCAAUAGUGAAAGACGGUUUUGCUGUCACUUAUAGAUGGAUCCGCGCCGCAUUAGCUAGUUGGUAAGGUAACGGCUUACCAAGGCAACGAUGCGUAGCCGACCUGAGAGGGUGAUCGGCCACACUGGAACUGAGACACGGUCCAGACUCCUAAGGGAGGCAGCAGUAGGGAAUCUUCCGCAAUGGGCGAAAGCCUGACGGAGCAACGCCGCGUGAGUGAUGAAGGUCUUCGGAUCGUAAAACUCUGUUAUUAGGGAAGAACAAAUGUGUAAGUAACUAUGCACGUCUUGACGGUACCUAAUCAGAAAGCCACGGCUAACUACGUG